AGUGAACGCUGGCGGUAGGCCUAACACAUGCAAGUCGAACGGCAGCACAGUAAGAGCUUGCUCUUACGGGUGGCGAGUGGCGGACGGGUGAGGAAUACAUCGGAAUCUACUUUUUCGUGGGGGCUAACGUAGGGAAACUUACGCUAAUACCGCAUACGACCUACGGGUGAAAGCAGGGGAUCUUCGGACCUUGCGCGAUUGAAUGAGCCGAUGUCGGAUUAGCUAGUUGGCGGGGUAAAGGCCCACCAAGGCGACGAUCCGUAGCUGGUCUGAGAGGAUGAUCAGCCACACUGGAACUGAGACACGGUCCAGACUCCUACGGGAGGCAGCAGUGGGGAAUAUUGGACAAUGGGCGCAAGCCUGAUCCAGCCAUACCGCGUGGGUGAAGAAGGCCUUCGGGUUGUAAAGCCCUUUUGUUGGGAAAGAAAAGCAGCGGGUUAAUACCCCGCUGUUCUGACGGUACCCAAAGAAUAAGCACCGGCUAACUUCGUG
rnacentral:rRNA from 1 species